UAGGAAAAGAUUCUUCCUUUGUAUGUGAGUCAACCUUCCCUCAUUAAGCUCUAGUUUCACUCAUGAUCCCCUUUUUGCUCCUUUGUCCCUUCAACAUACCAUUCUCUUCACCCUUACCUUGUGUGAUGUUCAUUAAACCUAGACAAGAGGAAAAACAUCCUUUUGUUCCAUCUUUUCAUUGCCAUUCCCCUCAUUUGCUCCUCUCUUUUCUUUCCUCCUCACUUUUUGCACCACCUAAACACCAACACUUCAUCACCUAUCCUCUUCUUAUCUUCUUCUUUUUGUACCACUGCCGCCCUUAGCACCACCCUCCACCACCGUGCACCAUUGCACAUGUCCUUUUUUUUUCUUAUUUUUCUCUAUUAUCCUUUAUCCUCUUUUAAGUGAGCGACAAAACCCAUAUUCUUUUCUUCUCCUCUGCUGAACCAUCUUCGUAGCACCACCGUCGACGAUUGAUAUUCUUCCUAAUUUAUUCUUCAAUUUUCAACUUUUGUUAU
rnacentral:lncRNA from 1 species